GACGAACGCUGGCGGCGUGCUUAACACAUGCAAGUCGAACGGAAAGGCCCUGCUUUUGUGGGGUGCUCGAGUGGCGAACGGGUGAGUAACACGUGAGUAACCUGCCCUUGACUUUGGGAUAACUUCAGGAAACUGGGGCUAAUACCGGAUAGGAGCUCCUGCUGCAUGGUGGGGGUUGGAAAGUUUCGGCGGUUGGGGAUGGACUCGCGGCUUAUCAGCUUGUUGGUGGGGUAGUGGCUUACCAAGGCUUUGACGGGUAGCCGGCCUGAGAGGGUGACCGGCCACAUUGGGACUGAGAUACGGCCCAGACUCCUACGGGGGGCAGCAGUGGGGAAUAUUGCACAAUGGGCGGAAGCCUGAUGCAGCAACGCCGCGUGCGGGAUGACGGCCUUCGGGUUGUAAACCGCUUUCGCCUGUGACGAAGCGUGAGUGACGGUAAUGGGUAAAGAAACACCGGCUAACUACGUG
rnacentral:rRNA from 1 species